AUUACAGCCGUUGUACGGGUAUUCUAUGCUCAAACGUAAAUACCCAUACUCUUGACCUUACAUUUUAAUUUUGUACGCGUAUGUAUCCAUUUCUGUGGCACUGUUUUCUCCAGCAACCUCGCAGUGGAAGCGCUGCAAACCCGUGACGUCACAACUGUAUCUGACUGUAUGCAGAAUGUUCCGGCGAGCGCGUGCUCUGAGCACAUGGAAAAGGGGGUUGAGAUUUAGCGACUAUGUGAAGUGCAACCAGAAAGCAAUACCUGUACACCUCAAAGGAAUAUAAUUUUACCACCACGCAAACAAAGAAAAAUGGGACAUGCACUUAAUGGCCGGACAUGAGGAUGAGAUGAGACAGAGCGAGCGAGAGAGAGAGAGGCCUCCCUCAUGGAGAGGGUCGGCUACGGGGGAGUGCACGAGUGGCCUCAGUGUUGCCUUUGGCUCCUGAAUCACUGGACAAGUAUUUGUGAGCGGUGGACAGCGUGGGCCUGUGAGAUCAUCUCCCUCCGGGGCGACAUCAUGAGAUCUGCGUGAUCACUUCCUCAUUCAUACCACUGAGGGGGAUGUGGUAGCCUGGACUGCUCAGUAUGUGUUAGUGCAGCCAGGAUCCACAGAGGCUGGAGUAGAGUGUGUGUUCAGUCAGAUGAAUGAAAGAGUUUGUCUUGUCAGUUCAGAUUCUCUGCUCAGAUGUUUUAUGCAUUAUUCUAUUUGAACGUUUUACGAUAUCCCUUAAAAAUGGGCAUGACAUCCAAAGGGCUUGUUUAAUUAAAUCCAGUUCAACAGAUUAAGUUGCUGUUUGCUUUAACACCCUUAGUCCACGCAUAUCUGUCAUAAGCCAUAAUAUGUGAUCAAACCCACCCAUUAAAGACUUUUACACCUGA